CAGAGCCACGGUAAUACAGAGGGUGCGAGCGUUAAUCGGAUUUACUGGGCGUAAAGCGUGCGUAGGCGGCUUUUUAAGUCGGAUGUGAAAUCCCUGAGCUUAACUUAGGAAUUGCAUUCGAUACUGGGAAGCUAGAGUAUGGGAGAGGAUGGUAGAAUUCCAGGUGUAGCGGUGAAAUGCGUAGAGAUCUGGAGGAAUACCGAUGGCGAAGGCAGCCAUCUGGCCUAAUACUGACGCUGAGGUACGAAAGCAUGGGGAGCAAACAGGAUUAGAUACCCGCGUAGUCCCUGUCUCUUAUACC
rnacentral:rRNA from 1 species